ACUGUGUGAGUAAUGAAAAUAUCACGGUGAUUAUGGAAGUAUUAUAGACGAUAGGUUUUGUCCCAGUAUUUAAAAGGGAAAAUAUUAAACUAAACUUUUGUUUUGAAAUUAUGCUGCAGGAGUAACGCAGUAGAUAUGCCUCUCCGAAAUGACCAGUUCAAAAGAAAAAGAGGACGCCCCCCUUUGGCGGGAAAGUCGAGCUUAGUGAGCCUUACUUGUCCGUUUUGUCGCCAGAAAUACUCCAAUCCCUACUCGUACAGCAAGCAUGUCGCUGUAGUGCACGCCGCCAACAGAGAAAAAUUUUACUGCGACGUAUGCAACAAAGCUUUCAUGUGGCCCAACAGCGUGGCAACUCACAAAAGGGUUGCUCACGGGAUACAGCCUAUGUCUCCGACCCUAGAAAAUUUCUUUUAGUUAGAUAUGUAUUUUGUUUUUAUUCAUUUUCAUCUAGUGAAAUGAAAUUAUAUCCCUAAUUGUUAAGCCUACCAGUACUUCAAUCUUGUAUAUUAAGGUUGGAAUGACAAAUCCAUUCGGAGAUCAAGUAGACGUCCACUUAAUUCUGGGCCAACAAAUGUUCAGUGUCAUAUGUGCUUCAAGAUCUUUAGUUCUCAGGCCUCCUUAAGGACACAUCUGUAUUUUCAACACAGAAGUCACCGUUAUUUCCCUUGCCCAGUUUGUGGAAAGGUUUUUACUCGGAACCAUCAUCUUAACUUUCACAUGCAAAAGAUCCAUUAAUCACACCAAAUACUGUUGUCAGAUGCUACUUCUAGGAAUUCAAACUUAUCUUACGAAAAGUAAAACUGAAAGUACACACUAGUGUAGAUUGUUUUUGUAUUAUUUAAAGGUUGCAGUUAUUAGUUGUCACUCAUUUCUGUACAGUUAAACAUUGAAACCUAGAUGUUCACCCAUAAGAUCUUGUUUUAUUGCGUUGAAAUGUUAAAAACAUUAUGGAUAUUAGGUUUUACACGUGUCGUUUGAAAUAGAAAGAAUGGAAUAAUAGAUAAGAAAUAUGAUAAUUUUGUACUUAUACGAUAUGUUAUAUUGCAGUUUGUAGUACCUGCAUAUAUAUAUAUAUUACAGCCUACAUGUAAGCAGAAAUCUGUUGAGGUCUGUUUUUGCUCAUAACGUAUUUGAAAUGUCAAGAAAUACGUUUGACAACAAGCAUACACGUUCUGAUCUGAAACAUCUGGAAAUUUGAAGAAAUUUAAUAAAAUGCAUUAAU
rnacentral:misc_RNA from 1 species